rnacentral:rRNA from 1 species
ACAGAGGGUGCGAGCGUUGUUCGGAAUCAUUGGGCGUAAAGCGCUUGUAGGCGGCUUGUUAAGUCGCGUGUGAAAUCCCUUGGCUCAACCAAGGAAGUGCGCGCGAAACUGGCGAGCUCGAGUGCCGGAGAGGGUCGCGGAAUUCCCGGUGUAGAGGUGAAAUUCGUAGAUAUCGGGAGGAACACCAGUGGCGAAGGCGGCGACCUGGACGGACACUGACGCUGAGACGCGAAAGCGUGGGGAGCAAACAGGA